AGUGCUCCUGACUGGAGAGCCCAGGCUGAGAUGGUGUUAAAUGCUUUUACCACGUGGGCUCCUGGCACCAACUGAGCAAGCAAUGUCACCUUGAGCAAGUUACUCAAACUCUUUGUGUCUCAGUUUCAUCAUCUGUAAAAUGAGGGAUUGCUAGUACCUACUUGAAAGAUACUGUGAGUGAGGACAGCAAAAAUCAGCUAAUGACCAUGAACAGAUCCCACCCCACAGGCCUUGGAAGCCUGAGGCAGUAUUCUUCUGGGAUAUUUCCAACUAGGCUUCCCAUGAGCAUGUUAGAGCCAGCCUAGCUGGUGAAUUUUACUUCUGUCACCUCUCAGAGGGAAGAGGUCUGAGAGGCUCAGGCCUCUUCCAGCUUUUGAGGAUUCCAGCAUAGUAGAAACAUAAAAAGGUCCAAAGAGAAUUACAAAAAUCAUCUAAGUUCUUAUACUUAACACGUCAAUGCUUACUAAAAAAAUCAAUCAAUCAAACUUUUGUUUGAAAUAAUUAUAGAUUCCAAGGAAGUUGUAAAGAUAGUACAGGAGGUCCCUGUGCAUCUUUCACCCAGUUUCCUCCAGUUUUAUGCCACUAGAGUACAAUAUCCAAACCAGGACAUUGACAUUGGAGCCAUAUGCAUGUAUAUUUCCAUGUCAUUUUAUUUCAUGUGUAUGCUCAUGUACCCAUCACUUCAGUCAGGUUAGAGACUAGACCAUCCCUCAUG
rnacentral:antisense_RNA from 1 species